rnacentral:tRNA from 1 species
GGGCGGUUAGCUCAGUUGGUUCAGAGCGCCACCCUUACAAGGUGGAGGUCAGAGGUUCGAAUCCUCUACCGCCCACUA